UACAGAGGUCUCAAGCGUUGUUCGGAUUCAUUGGGCGUAAAGGGUGCGUAGGCGGGUUGCCAAGUCUGUGGUGAAAUCCUCCGGCUUAACCGGAGAACUGCCGUGGAUACUGGCGACCUCGAGGGGUGUAGGGGCUUGCGGAACUGUGCGUGGAGCGGUGAAAUGCGUUGAUAUGCACAGGAACUCCGGUGGCGAAAGCGGCGAGCUGGACACCUUCUGACGCUGAGGCACGAAAGCCAGGGGAGCGAACGGG
rnacentral:rRNA from 1 species